rnacentral:rRNA from 1 species
GGGAAUCUGCCCUUGGGUUCGGAAUAACGUCGGGAAACUGACGCUAAUACCGGAUGAUGACGAAAGUCCAAAGAUUUAUCGCCCAGGGAUGAGCCCGCGUAGGAUUAGCUAGUUGGUGAGGUAAAGGCUCACCAAGGCUACGAUCCUUAGCUGGUCUGAGAGGAUGAUCAGCCACACUGGGACUGAGACACGGCCCAGACUCCUACGGGAGGCAGCAGUAGGGAAUAUUGGACAAUGGGGGCAACCCUGAUCCAGCAAUGCCGCGUGAGUGAUGAAGGCCUUAGGGUUGUAAAGCUCUUUUACCCGAGAUGAUAAUGACAGUAUCGGGAGAAUAAGCUCCGGCUAACUCCGUGCCAGCAGCCGCGGUAAUACGGAGGGAGCUAGCGUUGUUCGGAAUUACUGGGCGUAAAGCGCACGUAGGCGGCGAUUUAAGUCAGAGGUGAAAGCCCGGGGCUCAACCCCGGAACUGCCUUUGAGACUGGAUUGCUUGAAUCCUGGAGAGGUGAGUGGAAUUCCGAGU